rnacentral:tRNA from 1 species
GGUAAAAUGGCUGAGUAAAGCAUUAGACUGUAAAUCUAAG